rnacentral:tRNA from 1 species
GGGCAAUUAGCUCAGUUUGGUUUAGAGCAUCUGUUUUACAAGCAGGAGGUCACUGGUUCAAAUCCAGUAUUGCCCACGG